GUUAAAGAACGUAGCUUUCAUCCAUAUAAAGUCGAAAAUUUUCGACAAUUUCCUUAAUCCUCAGGGCGCUUCUUGUUCCAUUGAGGUGCGGCAUCCUCAUCUUCAACCUCAUCGUCUUGGUGACUGUGCUUAUUGUCUAGGCCAUUCUCCAGCCAAGCAAGCCCAGGUUUGUACUCCAGGACGCUACCGUCUAUCUGUCUCAUCGAAAUUUAUGAAAAAAUAGAUCACAGCGGCGGAUCUGGGCGGGGGAGCACGACGUUGCAUCGCUUUCAAGUGGCUGAGCUGGACUACCCUAGGCGUCUUCCCUCUUCCCCUCUCUUUAUCCAGAGUUGUAACUUUUUUAUGAAAAAAUAGAUCUUUUUUCAUGUUGUUGAAGAUGAUCCGAGAUCUGAUUUUGGAUUCUUUGUUUUUUAUUUGCAUGUUGAGGGAGGCGAUCGAGGAGAGAGGGAUUGGGCGAGGGGUUGUCAGACGACUUCGGUGCUCCAUGGCUAAUCACAGUGGCAGAUCUGGGCUGGGGAGCACGACGCUGCAUCACUUUUAGGUGGCUGGGCAGUGAUUUGACUCACGGAGGAGCUACGGAUAGGCAUUGCACCUCGUGGACGAGUGGCCCUCGAUCAGUGGCAACCGCAAAGCUUGGAGGUUGGGUUCGAUGCCAUGGAGAACCACAGAGAGAGACAACCACGGUUGAAGAGAGAGAAUCAGAGACGAUUUGCUUUUUGAAUUAUCGGCACUAUAUAUAGCCUUAAUUGAUCAGAGAAUUCAUGAUUUCAUCUUGCAUCUCCAUUAAAAUCAAGAAAUAGUGCCCGCUUUAAUUAUGCUAGCUAGCUUUAAUAUUUAAGAAACUAUAUUUGCUGUCGUUUCUUUUCUUAAUUGAUCCUCUUUAAUAUCAUUCAGUUCUUAUUAUUUUUUUUUCCUAA